rnacentral:rRNA from 1 species
CACGUAGGGCGCAAGCGUUGUCCGGAAUUAUUGGGCGUAAAGAGCUCGUAGGUGGUUUGUUACGUCUGCUGUGAAAACCUAGGGCUUAACCCUGGGCUUGCAGUGGAUACGGGCAGACUAGAGGUAGGUAGGGGAGAAUGGAAUUCCAGGUGUAGCGGUGAAAUGCGUAGAUAUCUGGAGGAACACCGGUGGCGAAGGCGGCAUCCUGGACCGGCAUUGACGCUGAGGCGCGAAAGCCAGGGGAGCAAACGGG